UGUACUGACACUAACAGAACACCAGUCUGCAUCUCUCCCUUUCUCUUUCUCUCUCUCCGAAAUAGUACGAAUUCAGCUUUGGCAGCAAUACAGGGGACCAUCACGGGCAUAGCAAAGCCAAACCAUAAACAAAGGCGAGCAGCCCUUACAGCAAUAGCAAACGGUCUCACUCUCUCUCCUCUCUCUUCCCCCCCCCCCCCCCC
rnacentral:lncRNA from 1 species